GACAACGUCCGUGAUCGAGCUCAGGUAUUGAUCGACAAGCCACCGAUUGAAAGCAAGAACACCCAUUUUGCCCUCACCUUCGAACAUUUGCAGCAACGUUGUUGGUCAUGAUGGUGGCGUUGAGGAUGAGAAGCAGCGUCAGUCAGGGCGUUGUGGGGGGCAUCGUAGAGAGGAGAGAGCUAAGAGGAAAGUAUCAAGAGAGAGAAUAGAAAAGAGCUGAAGAC
rnacentral:lncRNA from 1 species